rnacentral:rRNA from 1 species
GGGUGAGUAACGCGUAUCCAACCUGCCCACCACUUGGGGAUAACCUUGCGAAAGUAAGACUAAUACCCAAUGAUAUCUCUAGAAGACAUCUGAAAGAGAUUAAAGAUUUAUCGGUGAUGGAUGGGGAUGCGUCUGAUUAGCUUGUUGGCGGGGUAACGGCCCACCAAGGCAACGAUCAGUAGGGGUUCUGAGAGGAAGGUCCCCCACAUUGGAACUGAGACACGGUCCAAACUCCUACGGGAGGCAGCAGUGAGGAAUAUUGGUCAAUGGACGAGAGUCUGAACCAGCCAAGUAGCGUGCAGGAUGACGGCCCUAUGGGUUGUAAACUGCUUUUAUAAGGGAAUAAAGUGAGUCUCGUGAGACUUUUUGCAUGUACCUUAUGAAUAAGGACCGGCUAAUUCCGUGCCAGCAGCCGCGGUAAUACGGAAGGUCCGGGCGUUAUCCGGAUUUAUUGGGUUUAAAGGGAGCGUAGGCCGGAGAUUAAGCGUGUUGUGAAAUGUAGACGCUCAACGUCUGCACUGCAGCGCGAACUGGUUUCCUUGAGUACGCACAAAGUGGGCGGAAUUCGUGGUGUAGCGGUGAAAUGCUUAGAUAUCACGAAGAACUCCGAUUGCGAAGGCAGCUCACUGGAGCGCAAC